rnacentral:rRNA from 1 species
GCGGCGGGACUUCGGUUCCUUUGCGAAAGUGCCGGUAAUACUCGAUGAUCCCGUCGGAUCGCAUGGUCUGACGGGCAAAGCUCCGACGGUCCCAGAUCGGUUCAUGUCCUAUCAGCUUGUUGGCGGGGUAACGGCCCACCAAGGCUUCUACGGGUAGCGGGCGUGAGAGCGCGAUCCGCCACAUCGGGACUGAGACACGGCCCGGACACCUACGGGUGGCUGCAGCAACGAAUAUUCCGCAAUGGACGAAAGUCUGACGGAGCGACGCCGCGUGCAGGAAGAAGUCCCUCGGGAUGUAAACUGCUGUCAGGGGUUAGAAAGAUCUGAUCAGCCCCAAAGGAAGCACUGGCUAACUCCGUGCCAGCAGCCGCGGUAAUACGGAGAGUGCGAGCGUUGUUCGGAAUUACUGGGCUUAAAGCGCGUGCAGGCGGGAUAUCAGGUGUCGUGUGAAAACCCCGGGCUCAACCCGGGAAUGGCAUGGCAAACCGGUAUUCUUGAGGCAGGUAGAGGUGACUGGAACGACUGGUGGAGCGGUGAAAUGCGUAGAUAUCAGUUGGAACGCCGGUGGCGAAAGCGGGUCGCUGGGCCUGUCCUGACGCUGAGACGCGAAAGCGUGGGGAGCGAAGAGGAUUAGAUACCCUCGUAGUCCACGCCGUAAACGAUGCGUACUAGGUAUGAGAGGAUCUGACUCCGAUCGUGCCGUAGCUAAAGUGAUAAGUACGCCGCCUGG